rnacentral:rRNA from 1 species
GAUGAACGCUAGCUACAGGCUUAACACAUGCGAGUCGAGGGGCAGCAUGACCUAGCAAUAGGUUGAUGGCGACCGGCGCACGGGUGAGUAACACGUAUCCAACCUGCCGAUUAUUCCGGGAUAGCCUUUCGAAAGAAAGAUUAAUACUGGAUAGCAUAACGAGAAGGCAUCUUCUUGUUAUUAAAGAAUUUCGAUAAUCGAUGGGGAUGCGUUCCAUUAGUUUGUUGGCGGGGUAACGGCCCACCAAGACAUCGAUGGAUAGGGGUUCUGAGAGGAAGGUCCCCCACAUUGGAACUGAGACACGGUCCAAACUCCUACGGGAGGCAGCAGUGAGGAAUAUUGGUCAAUGGACGAGAGUCUGAACCAGCCAAGUAGCGUGAAGGAUGACUGCCCUAUGGGUUGUAAACUUCUUUUAUAUGGGAAUAAAGUGGGCCACGUGUGGCUUUUUGUAUGUACCAUACGAAUAAGGAUCGGCUAACUCCGUG